GAUGAACGCUGGCGGCGUGCCUAAUACAUGCAAGUCGAGCGAACAGACGAGGAGCUUGCUCCUCUGACGUUAGCGGCGGACGGGUGAGUAACACGUGGAUAACCUACCUAUAAGACUGGGAUAACUUCGGGAAACCGGAGCUAAUACCGGAUAAUAUAUUGAACCGCAUGGUUCAAUAGUGAAAGACGGUUUUGCUGUCACUUAUAGAUGGAUCCGCGCCGCAUUAGCUAGUUGGUAAGGUAACGGCUUACCAGGGCGACGAUGCGUAGCCGACCUGAGAGGGUGAUCGGCCACACUGGAACUGAGACACGGUCCAGACUCCUACGGGAGGCAGCAGUAGGGAAUCUUCCGCAAUGGGCGAAAGCCUGACGGAGCAACGCCGCGUGAGUGAUGAAGGUCUUCGGAUCAUAAAACUCUGUUAUUAGGGAAGAACAAAUGUGUAAGUAACUAUGCACGUCUUGACGGUACCUAAUCAGAAAGCCACGGCUAACUACGUG
rnacentral:rRNA from 1 species